ACGGGGUGCAGCAGGCGCGAAAACUUUGCAAUACACGGAAGUGUGACAGGGCUAUCCCGAGCGCCAUCCGCUGAGGAAGGCUUUUACCCAGUCUAGAACGCUGGGGGAAUAAGGAGAGGGCAAGUCUGGUGUCAGCCGCCGCGGUAAUACCAGCUCUCCGAGUGGUGUGGAUGUUUAUUGGGCCUAAAGCAUCCGUAGCUGGCUAAGUUAGUCCCUUGUUAAAUCCACCGAAUUAAUCGUUGGAUUGCGGGGGAUACUGCUUGGCUAGGGGACGAGAGAGGCAGACGGUAUUUUUGGGGUAGGGGUGAAAUCCUAUAAUCCUGGGAGGACCACCAGUGGCGAGGGCGUCUAGCUAGAACGGGUUUGACGGUGAGGGACGAAGCCCUGGGGCGCAAACGGGAUUAGAUACCCCGGUAGUCCAGGGUGUAAACGCUGCUUGCUUGAUGUUGGUUGGGCUCCGAGCCCAAUCAGUGUCGGAGAGAAGUUGUUAAGCAAGCUGCCUGGGAAGUACGAUCGCAAGACUGAAACUUAAAGGAAUUGGCGGGGGAGCAC
rnacentral:rRNA from 1 species